AUUAAGAUAAAAAUUGGCAUGGUGUUGGAAGACUUAAAGAUCAAGCUAUACACCAACUUUGACACAAAGUUAACAGUUAAAAAGAAAGAAAUCAUUGCUGAGAUUUUUACUUCACUUUUCAAGUUGGUGGCUAAGUGACAUCAGUGCAAUUUUUGGAGGUUUUUUUACAAUCUGUAAGUUGGAUUGGGCUAAAAAUUCUUGAACAUAUAGAAGACUUACAUUAAA
rnacentral:lncRNA from 1 species